AGUGCGAAUGCUGACAUGAGUAGCGAUAAAGGGAGUGAAAAGCUCCCUCGCCGAAAGCCCAAGGUUUCCUACGCAACGUUCAUCGGCGUAGGGUGAGUCGGCCCCUAAGGCGAGGCAGAAAUGCGUAGUCGAUGGGAAACAGGUCAAUAUUCCUGUACCGAUUCUAGAUGCGAUGUGGGGACGGAGAAGGUUAGGUCAGCCAUCUGUUGGAAUAGGUGGUUUAAGCGUGUAGGCGUGCCCCUUAGGCAAAUCCGGGGGGCUUAGCUGAGGCGUGACGACGAGGCACUACGGUGCUGAAGUGAUUAAUACCAAGCUCCCAGGAAAAGCCACUAAGCUUCAGUCUAGAGUCGACCGUACCGCAAACCGACACAGGUGGGCAGGAUGAAAAUUCUAAGGCGCUUGAGAGAACUCAGGAGAAGGAACUCGGCAAAUUGACACCGUAACUUCGGGAGAAGGUGUGCCCCGGUAGGUUGUAGAGCCUCGCGCUCGAAGGCCGAUGGGGUUGCAGUGAAAUGGUGGCUGCGACUGUUUAAUAAAAACACAGCACUCUGCAAACACGAAAGUGGACGUAUAGGGUGUGACGCCUGCCCGGUGCUGGAAGAUUAAAUGAUGGGGUGCAAGCUCUUGAUUGAAGUCCCAGUAAACGGCGGCCGUAACUAUAACGGUCCUAAGGUAGCGAAAUUCCUUGUCGGGUAAGUUCCGACCUGCACGAAUGGCGUAACGAUGGCCACACUGUCUCCUCCUGAGACUCAGCGAAGUUGAAAUGUUUGUGAAGAUGCAAUCUCCCCGCGGCAAGACGGAAAGACCCCAUGAACCUUUACUGCAGCUUUGCAUUGGACUUUGAACCGGUUUGUGUAGGAUAGGUGGGAGACUGUGAAACCGGGACGCUAGUCUCGGUGGAGUCGUCCUUGAAAUACCACCCUGAUUUGUUUGAGAUUCUAACCUGGGCCAGUGAAUCCCGGCCGGGGACCGUGCAUGGUAGGCAGUUUGACUGGGGCGGUCUCCUCCCAAAAGGUAACGGAGGAGUACGAAGGUACGCUUAGGGCGGUCGGACAUCGCCCAUAAAGUGCAAUGGCAAAAGCGUGCUUGACUGCGAGACCCACAAGUCGAGCAGGUGCGAAAGCAGGUCAUAGUGAUCCGGUGGUUCUGUAUGGAAGGGCCAUCGCUCAACGGAUAAAAGGUACUCUGGGGAUAACAGGCUGAUACCGCCCAAGAGUUCAUAUCGACGGCGGUGUUUGGCACCUCGAUGUCGGCUCAUCUCAUCCUGGGGCUGUAGCCGGUCCCAAGGGUAUGGCUGUUCGCCAUUUAAAGAGGUACGUGAGCUGGGUUUAAAACGUCGUGAGACAGUUUGGUCCCUAUCUGCCGUGGGCGCUGGAAAUUUGAAGGGGGCUGCUCCUAGUACGAGAGGACCGGAGUGGACGAACCUCUGGUGUACCGGUUAUGACGCCAGUCGUAUCGCCGGGUAGCUAUGUUCGGAAGAGAUAAACGCUGAAAGCAUCUAAGCGUGAAACUCGCCUUAAGAUAAGAUUUCCCGGAGUCUUGAACUCCUUGAAGGGUCGUCGAAGACCACGACGUUGAUAGGUCAGGUGUGGAAGCUAAAG
rnacentral:rRNA from 1 species